rnacentral:pre_miRNA from 1 species
CUUGUACUCCCUCCGUUCCAAAUUACUCGUCGCAGAAAUGAAUGUAUCUAGAACUAAAAUACAUCUAGAUACAUUCAUUUCUGCGACGAGUAAUUCGGAACGGAGGAAGUACUAG